UUGGGUUGGCAAAAAAUUUUAUUUGGGUUUUUCCAUAAGAUCUAAGGAAAAACUCGAACAACCCUUUUGGCAAAUCCAAU
rnacentral:miRNA from 1 species